UCGCUGGUGUUCCUGGAGUUACAGAAGCUUUGUUUGAAGCUAGACAAACUGCGAUUGCUCAGCAGAAGAUCAAAUCCAACGAAGCGCCUCUGCUUUACACCUGUGGAGUCUGUAAUAAAUCUUACAGAAGCUCCAAAGCUCACGAGCAGCAUCUCAAGUCAAAGAGCCACGUUCUCAAGGCUUCUUCAAGCAGCAACGGAGAGGAGGAUAAAGCCAUCAUCAAGGAGCUUCCUCCUCCUCCUCCUCGAAGUGUUGAGAAGAAGGGCCCUGCUAGGCUAAAGGGUUUGAUUGAGGAAGAGAGUGAAGAGAGUGAGGAUGAAUGGGUUGAGGUUGACUCUGACGAAGACUUGGAGGGUGAAGAAGAUAUGGAUGAGGAUGAUGAGGAGGGUUCUGGUGAAGAUAUAGAUGAGGAUGAUGAUAUGGAGUUUGAGUUGGACCCCACUAGCUGUUUGAUGUGUGAUAAGAAGCAUAAGACGAUAGAGAAGUGUAUGGUUCAUAUGCAUAAGCUCCAUGGGUUCUUCAUUCCUGACAUCGAGUACCUCAAGGAUCCUAAAGGGUUUCUAACCUACGUUGGUCUAAAGGUAUGUAGUUUUGUUUUGUCUCGUCACUUUUUAUGUUCAGACAGUUAAAAGAUCUUUGUCUCUUCUUACAGGUCAAGAGGGACUUCUUUUGUCUGUACUGCAACGAACUGCGCCAUCCAUUCACCAGUUUGGAAGCUGUUAGAAAGCAUAUGGAAGCCAAGAGUCACUGCAAAGUGCAUUACGGUGAUGGUGGUGAUGAGGAAGAUGCAGAGCUAGAAGAGUUCUAUGACUACAGCAGCAGGUCUCUUUACGCUUCCUCUGCUUGGUAUCUUGUAAUCAAAUAGAAACUAUUGUUUUAUAUUGAAAUGUGUGUGUUGUAUAGUUACGGCAAUGAAGGGGAGAAUCAGAUGGUUGUAGCUGGUGAAUCAGCUAAUACCGUUGAGCUCUUUGGUGGGUUGGAGCUUGUGAUCACCAAAAGAGAGGAUAACAAAGUAACGUCGAGGACUCUUGGGUCUCGAGAGUUCAUGCGCUACUACAAACAGAAGCCGCCACCAUCUUCUCAGAAACACAUUGUCAACUCUCUAGCCAACAGGUUUGAACCCAUCAGAGAUUAUCUCUUGUUACUACUCUCUUUGCAGAAUUUGUUGUUGUUGUCGGAAAAUGUUUAGAUCGCUGGUGUUCCUGGAGUUACAGAAGCUUUGUUUGAAGCUAGACAAACUGCGAUUGCUCAGCAGAAGAUCAAAUCCAACGAAGCGCCUCUGCUUUACACCUGUGGAGUCUGUAAUAAAUCUUACAGAAGCUCCAAAGCUCACGAGCAGCAUCUCAAGUCAAAGAGCCACGUUCUCAAGGCUUCUUCAAGCAGCAACGGAGAGGAGGAUAAAGCCAUCAUCAAGGAGCUUCCUCCUCCUCCUCCUCGAAGUGUUGAGAAGAAGGGCCCUGCUAGGCUAAAGGGUUUGAUUGAGGAAGAGAGUGAAGAGAGUGAGGAUGAAUGGGUUGAGGUUGACUCUGACGAAGACUUGGAGGGUGAAGAAGAUAUGGAUGAGGAUGAUGAGGAGGGUUCUGGUGAAGAUAUAGAUGAGGAUGAUGAUAUGGAGUUUGAGUUGGACCCCACUAGCUGUUUGAUGUGUGAUAAGAAGCAUAAGACGAUAGAGAAGUGUAUGGUUCAUAUGCAUAAGCUCCAUGGGUUCUUCAUUCCUGACAUCGAGUACCUCAAGGAUCCUAAAGGGUUUCUAACCU
rnacentral:lncRNA from 1 species